rnacentral:lncRNA from 1 species
UUCCCCGCUUCGCCCGCUCCUUCAUCUGAAUGGGAAGUUGGGGAACAUGGACGGGGUCGUGCUGGCGUGGAUCGCUCUCUUCUGGCUAACAGGGUUUGGCUGAUCCACGUCUCCCCACUCCCCUGGCCUCCCAGUGCCUUCCACUUCCACCCUCACUGAUUCUGAACGUCCUUGAUUUGCCUCUUCUGUGUUAUCAUGCUAGAAGGGAACUUAGGCCUGAAACCCGUAUCACCACCUCCCCGAGGUCAACUAGGCAUCCCGGGGUGGGAGGGCUCUACGUCAGAGAUGCUCUUCCAGACACCCCAGGGUGUGCCCAAGAAAAUCACCUGAGGGAUUUGCAGGGAGUGGGAGCAGGAGGGGAACAUAUAGCCCUGCUAGAUGGCCAACAGCUGUUGAUGAGAUGGAAUCGUAUCACUGGAAGGGGCCGCAGGCCAUCUGGGCCAGCUCUCCCAGUUUAUAGAAAUGGAGACCCAGAGAGGUAAUAGGCACAGAGCAAAUGUGUCAUGGAGCAGGGACUCGAACCCAGUUCUCCGAACCCCAGGCCAGCCCCACGUGCACUCUUCGAAGCUGCCUCUCUGGGGUUUUUGGUUGUAGGGAGUUCUGUUUUGUGUGCAUUUUGAGGGGAGUUGCUGCUUUGUCCGUGCCUUCUCUUGCCUGGUGGCAGGCAACAGGUUAGUUCCCAGGGCCAUCUCAGCUGUCAGAUGGCUGGGCUUCUGCGCUCUGCACAUGAGGCUGGCUCUCAAGAUCCCACUGAGCACUGCAGGCAUCCCCUGAGCCCAGCGUCUGCUUCCCCCCUCAGCCCAUCAGCCUGUCAGUAGUGCUGCUGGACAAGCUGCCUUCCUCUCAGCCUCAGCAAAGUAGAGGAGCUAACAAUGGCGCCUGGGGGGUGGGGGAGAGGAGCAGUCAAGGAUGAGAGGGAUUCAGACUCAUCGUUCCCAGCAAAACCAUGAGAGGAAAGGUAAGAAAUUUCAGUCCAGCCCAAUCAAUGAAUUCUCUCUUGAGGGGGUGGUACAAAGGGAGGGAGAAUGAGGACAGAUUAAAAAUGAGUCAGAGAGUGGGGGGGGGGAGGACGACACAUUCAUUCUCCCUCUCCCUCCCUUU